GACCCCCACUGGCAGAGCUAUGCCUUUUUCCUUUGAGUUUCCAUAGUUCUGUGGUGAUGGGUAAUCUGGAAGGUUACUCUAUUGAUAAAUCAGUGCAAACUAUGCCCUUACAUGUUGGAAGAGCACACCUCUGAACUC